rnacentral:rRNA from 2 species
AGAGUUUGAUCCUGGCUCAGAACGAACGCUGGCGGCAGGCUUAACACAUGCAAGUCGAACGCACCGCAAGGUGAGUGGCAGACGGGUGAGUAACGCGUGGGAACGUGCCCUUCAGUUCGGGAUAACCCAGGGAAACUUGGGCUAAUACCGGAUACGUGCGAGAGCAGAAAGAUUGAUCGCUGAAGGAUCGGCCCGCGUCUGAUUAGCUAGUUGGUAGGGUAAUGGCCUACCAAGGCGACGAUCAGUAGCUGGUCUGAGAGGAUGAUCAGCCACAUUGGGACUGAGACACGGCCCAAACUCCUACGGGAGGCAGCAGUGGGGAAUAUUGGACAAUGGGCGCAAGCCUGAUCCAGCCAUGCCGCGUGAGUGAUGAAGGCCUUAGGGUUGUAAAGCUCUUUCGGCGGGGACGAUAAUGACGGUACCCGCAGAAGAAGCCCCGGCUAACUUCGUGCCAGCAGCCGCGGUAAUACGAAGGGGGCUAGCGUUGUUCGGAAUCACUGGGCGUAAAGGGCGCGUAGGCGGCCUGAUAAGUCGGGGGUGAAAGCCUGUGGCUCAACCACAGAAUUGCCUUCGAUACUGUCGGGCUUGAGACCGGAAGAGGUAAGUGGAACUGCGAGUGUAGAGGUGAAAUUCGUAGAUAUUCGCAAGAACACCAGUGGCGAAGGCGGCUUACUGGUCCGGUUCUGACGCUGAGGCGCGAAAGCGUGGGGAGCAAACAGGAUUAGAUACCCCAGUAGUCC